rnacentral:rRNA from 1 species
UACAGAGGUGGCAAGCGUUGUUCGGAAUUACUGGGCGUAAAGGGCGCGUAGGCGGCCUUGUCAGUCAGACGUGAAAUCCCCAGGCUUAACUUGGGAACUGCGUCUGAUACUACAAGGCUUGAGUAUGGGAGAGGUAAGCGGAAUUCCUGGUGGUAGCGGUGAAAUGCGUAGAUAUCAGGAGGAACACCUGCGGUGUAGACGGCUUACUGGACCAUCACUGACGCUGAGGCACGAAAGCGUGGGUAGCAAACAGG